UACGUAGGGCGCAAGCGUUGUCCGGAAUUAUUGGGCGUAAAGAGCUCGUAGGUGGCUUGUCACGUCGGGUGUGAAAGCUUGGGGCUUAACUCCAGGUCUGCAUUCGAUACGGGCUGGCUAGAGGUAGGUAGGGGAGAACGGAAUUCCUGGUGUAGCGGUGAAAUGCGCAGAUAUCAGGAGGAACACCGGUGGCGAAGGCGGGUCUCUGGGCCGUAACUGACGCUGAGGAGCGAAAGCGUGGGGAGCGAACAGG
rnacentral:rRNA from 1 species